AUCUAUUGAAAAGCGCCGAUAAAACUAAAACGCAUAUUACAGCGAAAGGCAAGACAGUUUGCAGUCGGCGGAUACAAAGGCAAAGAUACUGACUCUGAAAGAGCAGCGGCUCCGCGUACAACAAUUAGCUCUGACUGCCCGCCGACCACUGAGUUCUGCAGCUGAUCCAGAGCCAUGGGCAUCUCACACACCUCCUGAACACCUCAUCUCACACACCUCCUGAACCAGGUAGGACUCGCAGUGUCACCUGGUCGUAGUGCUGCUCAUCAUCAUCCGCUAUGGAGUCCAGCUCCAGGACCUUCAUAUCCGGCUCCAUCUCCAGCAGCUGUGACUCCUUGGCCCUGACAGCAAACUGCAGCCUGGUGUGCUGCUCUAUCAGAGUACACUGUCGACGCUUCUCCCACUCCACAACACUCUAUAUACACGCACACACACACACACACACACGCUGGCAUAUUAUAUACAAGUUGGCAUGUACAACUGGGCUAUUACAAAAUAGAACAAGAAAGAAAGAGAAAGAGAGAGAGACAAAUAAAGAGUGAGAGGGAUGGACCUGUGGGAAACAACGAGAGAACAGGAGAAUGGUUGGAGAGGGUCGUCUGCCAGAGAGGGACUGGCUGAAGAUACAGCCCCUAUCAGAGCCCAGCAGACCGUCACGGCCCCCAUUACUACACAGUCCGUCUUCAAACUGGUGGAGGAUAUUGAUGCUCUGAGAGAAGCCCUCAGCUGCACUGAUCUGCAGGUUGUAAAUACCGGUAAUGAGCAGGGGUGAUGGAUGGAGACAGACCCAAUUAGAAUAGAGGUAGGAUGGAACAUGAUCUGCUCCCUGCUUUCUCUUUACAUACCAGACCAGUGUUCAAACACUAUAUGAAAUCUUUCAAAUACUUUUAGCUUUUGAUUUUGACUGCCUGGAGUGACAGAUGUGCAGGGUUUGCAGUUUUUGCAACUAUUGUAUUGGUUUCAUUGCACCAGUCAAACCCAGCUAAAGUAUUUGAAAUGGUUCCCAGGAGUGUUUGAACACAGGUCUAGUAUACAUUAGUCCCAGGCAGUACUCUGUGUGCAUACUAGAUAAGCUCCUCCAUUAUGGCUGGCUCAGGCUCUGUGUUGUUUAGCAUGCAGCCAGUGUGUCCAUUGGACAUGUGCUACUGUUCAUCCAUCACGCUAACAGCAAUGUCCAACAUGAGCCAAGACACACACACAUCUAUCACCCUAACAGUAAUGUCUGACAUCAGCAGAGCAGCCAUCACUGCACUCUGGGGGACUGACACUUUAUUUGUGUGUGUGUUGGAGGGUAGUGUACAGUAGCAGCAAUGACAUGACUCAGCUCUGUGACUCACUGUCCAUGCCUGCCAAACGCACGCUGGAGAGCCAAUAAACCAGCCCCGUACACACAGAGAAAAAUUGCACAGAUACAAUCACACGCACAAAUACACAUGCACACUCACUUUAACCAUUGUCAGUUAUAUAUAGGAGAAUAGGAGAAUAUAAAUCAUGUAUAAUCUUGACCUUGAAUCCAUUUACUGCCCACUAUGGUAAUUACCAUAUGGUAUUAUGAUAACAUUGCAAUGCUGUCGUAUCAUUUGCACAUUCAAGCAGGUUUGCAAUAUUGCUCAUUAGUAUUCCGACCUUGCUCAAAAUAUAUAGCAAGAUACCCAUAAUUCACCAGUGGCAAUGUAAUGAGAAGCCAUUUAAAUAUGGCAUCACAGGGCGACUGACAAUACAAACAUUCAGCUGCCUCCAAUGAGAUGACAGUCCUGGUGAGAUAGUCAUUUUGCUGUUUAACGAUCACAUGCGGUUAUAUUGGAUGGUGAGCUGGUGGAGGAGGGAUGAAAGAGGAGAUGAGGGCUGGAGGAGAAGAGGGGUGGAGGAAGAGGUGAAGGGAUGGA